AGAAUUUUAGUUUAAAAAAAAAUUUAAUAUUUACAAUAUUAAGAUAUAAUUAUUAUAAAUUUUUAAUUUAAAAUAAUAAAUUCAA
rnacentral:tRNA from 1 species